GCCCCAUGUUUCGUGUUCACCGCGGACCUUGAUUUAACGUCACACAAUUAAGGCACGCGGUGAACGCCAAAGGGGGGCGG
rfam:Patagioenas fasciata monilis isolate BTP2013 Sc31e1R_189, whole genome shotgun sequence.